rnacentral:lncRNA from 1 species
AUAUGAACUUUAAAGUAGUUUUUUCCAAUUAUGUGGUGAAAGUCAUUGGUAGCUUGAUGGGGAUGGCAUUAAAUCUAUAAAUUACCUCUGGCAGUAUGGCCGUUUUCACGAUAUUGAUUCUUCCUAUCCAGGAGCAUGGAAUGUUCUUCCAUUCAAUUAUUUGUCUAUGAGUCUCAUAAUCCCCACCAGAUUGUGAGUUUGUGGAAGGUGGGGGCAAUGAUUCAUCUCAGAAUUUGCCACAGCACUUGCCACAGCACUUAACACCUAGUAUAUGGUAGGUAUUUAUUGGCUUAAUUUAUUAAGUCUCUAAGUAAAUGAAUGUAUUCGCCAAACUGACUGUUGGACUACUUGAAAUUCACAGAGCUCAGAGCAGCUAAACCUUGAAAGUAGAUAAAAAUCACCAGGAGACCUGGCUCACCUGGGUCUCAUUCUGAUCCAGUCAAAGGUUGUCAUUAUGUACAGCAACCUUGCUUUUUGUCCCUGGGGAGCACUCCAGGCUAACCCAUCCCACUGGCACCAAAGCCCUUUCCCAUCAUCCCCACCACACCCUGGAAGCUUAGAACAUGUCAUUAUCCUCCCUCAUAUGUCAGUCCACAAGAUGCCAAGUAGAUCCCUAACACUCCUUGCAGUGAUAACAAGAUAACAUAGUGACAAAGUACUUUGAACUUCACAGGUUCCAUUCACCCUGCAGUUAUGGCUAUUACCGUGCCCAGAAGCCACCACCAGGGGGCUCCAGCAUGUCUCUGAAACCUGGCUGUUCAGUAAGUCUAUGAGAAAGACUGGAGGAAAACUCCGAAGUCUUAAUUUCCAUUCCCAAGACACAGAAAUGCUGGACAAUCCCAACUGACCCCCUCACCCGAGAGCACAGCCGGGGAGGGUCCCAGGGCCCAAUGAGGAACAAGUGCUUGUCUUGUCCCUGCAGAUUUGAGAAUCCUUGGGUGAGAAUUAUGUGGAUUUCAAGUUUUCUAGGAAGGACAGGGAAGGAGGACUGGAAAAUCAGAGCUGGUAGUUCAAAUUUUUAGUCAGAUCUGGUUACUUUCUCCCAAGGCAAGUAACCCAAGAAAGUACCAGAAAUCUUACACUAGCUCCACUAUAUUAUGGUUUAGUAGUAUUAGUGUCAACAUUAACAUUGUUGAAAAAUACAAUUGCAAUUUUUUGAGCACAUGCUAUACAACAGGCAUUGUACUUUUUUCUCUGUACAUGAUAUCAUUUGACCCUCACGUUGCCCCUGUGAAGAAUUAUGAUUAUUAGGAAACUAAGGUUCAGAAGAAUAAGUGAUAUCCCAAGGUCACAUGGCUUCUAAAGGCCAGACAGUCCAAGGCAGAGUGGAGCACAUGAGCAAAGACACAG